GAAAGUGCCAUCUGGCGCUCUUUAAACGAACUAGAUAGGACAAUUUGAAUGUAGAAGAGGCCAUUACAACCAUCUUUGCGGAUGAUGUAAUAGAGAGAGAGGAUAGAAAUAUGGGAAAGCGAGUGAGGAAAUGCCACCUGUGAUCAAACUGUUUAACGUCGUUAAACGAAGUUUUGAGAGGAAAUCGUUCGGCAAAAGCGUAUUUUCGCUCUUCUAGAAUAGUUUGGCAAAACUGGGUCGACGUUCGUGAUGUAUAAUAUCCACAUCCCGAGUUGCUACGACUUUCAAUUAUCGAUAGAAAGCGUUGGAAAAAGUACCAAGAAUCGAAUCACGUCUCUAAUCCGUACCAACAAUCCUCGUCACGUUUCCAUCUAAUCAAAGUCGACACAUUUUUUCCGACUUCGACUCCACAGCCCUGCCCGAAUCCAGUUAUAAUCCCAAGAAAGAUAGCGGACCCAAAUAUCAUCCCUGUUCCUAAUAUCGCACCCACUUCCAACUCACUACCCAGUACUGUCACCUGCCAAGUGAGUGGUGUUCCUGUGAAGCAUUGUCUGCCCGCAGC